rnacentral:rRNA from 1 species
UACGUAGGGGGCAAGCGUUGUCCGGAUUUAUUGGGCGUAAAGAGCGCGUAGGCGGCCAGAUAAGUCCGGUGUGAAAGUCAAAGGCUCAACCUUUGAAUGCCGCUGGAAACUGUCUGGCUAGAGUCCGGAAGAGGAGAAUGGAAUUCCUGGUGUAGCGGUGAAAUGCGCAGAUAUCAGGAAGAACACCCGUGGCGAAGGCGGUCUCUGGACGGUACUGACGCUGGAGACGCGAAGCGUGGGAGCGAACAGG